GAGGUGACAAUUCGGCAGUUGUGAUUCAAGAAAUUCAAUUCUACAGCUGUGCCACGGUCGCGUAUCAGCGUCCGUUAUUUCUCCCAAAAAAGUAGACCAACCAUGGACCUCGAGUUUAAAAGAAGCCGCCUGUUGCCAUGUGCCCGUUCGGUUGCUUCCGGUUCUCCUCGGCCAUCUUCGACGGGACAACGAUUGUGCUACGAUCCCGAGUAACCGUUGUGUUUCUCCCAAAAAGGUACAGUCGAUACUUUUUCAUUUUUAUAUGCGAUUCAGUAGUUUUCCAAGCUACGUACAUGCCACGCAAAUGUUAUGACACGUUUAAUCGAGAUAUAUCCGUAGGAAUUAGAGGACGCUUUUCUCUGAAGCAAUCGAUAAAUCGAUACAUCUCUUACAAAAUUCUCGUUUCAGGAUCAAUUUGACAUAACGUUCAUUAGAUUUGUUCUCGCGUUGCCAAUCUAUUUAGCCGAAGCAGAUAUGCCGACGAUUAGAUUAGAAGGAAAAUGACGAAUUCGUAAAUUAUCGAACGCUUUCCCAAGGAUAAACACUUUGGCAGAAAAUAAACGUGACUGUAUGUAUAUAUUUGUACAAAAAAAGAGAAGGGAAGGAAGAGAGAGCUAGACAUAAACGUUUAAACGUAAACUAAGAAUGAAUAUAAAUAAUUAUAGUAUGUGUACUAAUCCAAAGGAACAUCUUAAGAAUGCUAGGGUUUGAGCAAAUAUGUAUGUCCUGGUGGACAGAUGUGGUGUAGAUAGACACUCACUCCGUGCAAAAUUAUUUAAAAAUGUUAAAAUAUCCAUAAGUAAUGUUUUGCGCGUAAAAAAUGUUACUUCUCAAACAUCUUGAAGGUAUGAGAAUCGAAUAGCAUAGGAUGACCACUAUGUUUGGCAGCAAGUUACACAGUUUUGAACGUUUCAAUUUGUUACUACGCUGCUUAUCGUCUACGAUUUGGUAGCAACGGGUACAACGUUCUUCGUACGCUCACUCGUGUACACGCGGCUGCCGCUGACUUGCAUUCUGCGAAUUCGAAUAUGCGGUCAGUCGUUUCGUGUCGUGUGGCAACGAUUAUGCCGGAUGAUCGUAGCCAGACCCGCAGCAUUUACGUGCGUACAACCAUUAUACAUGGUAAAAACUUUUAUGCAUGUCGACGAUGAACGUAAUCUAGCAAAACGUAAUUCGUUCAUGCUACGCCAUGUCUCAAGGAGAAUACCCAUCGACCAGAUUGUAGGUCGUAGACAUCGAACGUUACGUGUCUCUUAACAAGAUCCAAACAAGGAGUGCUACUACGUAGCCGGUAUUUUCCGUGUUGUCCAACGAGUUGUUUGUCGUCCUGUGAAAUUAAUCUGCCUAAGUUGUCACCGUGUGGGAUCAACCGUUUUCAUGCACUCUUGGCAUCAUCUUGUUGGAACAGUUACAUUAAAACAUAGCAUUUAAUACAAUGUAUCGCGUGUAAUCGGCUUUAUUUCGAAACGAAUCAUCGAAAGAUGCACUUAUCAGCAAAGGUAUCGAGUACGAUAAUAAAACUACUGUGAUAUCGAUAUGAUCGCGUCCACGAGCUAGAAACUUGAAAGGAUUUCGUUUGUAAAUAUAGGAAAGACUCCUUUAAUUAUACGGUUACAGAACGCUUUUCGUAAUCAUUUUGAAAAAUUUGUCAAGAAUCAAUCCUUCUUGAACAGAGUUCAAAGAACAGUCAUGUUAUCAAUUAGAGUUCCGAGAUCACGGUGUACGUAACGAAAUUAAUCUCCCCUCAAUUAAUGGUGUUAAGACGCAUCCAAGCGUAGAGGCAGUACGACUUUCCUGAUUAAGACGGCGAUACGCAUUCUGAGAAGAGACAUCGAAAGAGCCGAGCAAGGCUAUAUGACCGAUACGUCUUAUUGAAAUCUUGUACAAUUAAAACAGUAUAAUAUACAGUGCGUGUAACCGAAGUUAACUCGCGCAAGGUUAUAGUA